GUCGUCGUAUUGUCGUCCGAAGACACAUUGGUAUUCGCACUCUAACUUUAGUUAAAGUGAAUGGAUCUUUAUGAAAUUUUAUCAUAAGGUUCAAUACCACAAAUGGAAGGUUGGGAUUGAGUUUGGGGGUUAUGGUACCAACAGUUAAGGAAUUAGGGGCCAAAAAGGGGCCAAAAAUAAGCAUUUUUGUAACUUCCAGACAUAGCUUGUGUGUUAGUUUAUGGAUCUCUCUGACAUUGUACCACAGGGUUCCAUAUCACAAAGGGAAUGCUGGGAUUGAUUUUGGGGGUAAUUGCCUCAAAAUUUUGGGAAUUGGGGGCCAAAAAAAGGGGAAAAAAACAAGCAUUUUUCUAGUUUCAUGACAAUAACUUGUGUAUAAGUGUAUAGAUCUUUCUGAAAUUGUACUACAAGGUUCCAUAUCACAAAGGAAAAGCUUGAAUUUAGUUUGGGGGUAAUUGCCCAAAACGUUUAGGAAUAAGCGCCAAAAAGGGGCCAAAAAUAAGCAUUUUUCUAGUUUCCAGACAAUAACUUGUGUUCAAAUGUAUGGAUCUCUCUGAUAUUGUACUGCAAGGUACCAUACUACAAAGGGAAGGCUGGGAUUGAUUUUGGGGGUAAUUGCCUCAAAAUUUAAGGAAUUAGGGGCCAAAAAGGGGCAAAAAUCAAGCAUUUUUCUAGUUUCAGGACAAUAACUUGUGUGUAAGUGUAUAGAUCUUUCUGAAAUUGUACUACAAGGUUCCAUAUUACAAAGGAAAAGCUUGAAUUGAGUUUGGGGGUAAUUGCCCAAAACGUUUAGGAAUUAGGGGCCAAAAAGGGGCCAAAAAUAAGCAUUUUUCUAGUUUCCAGACAAUAACUUGUGUUCAAAUGUAUGGAUCUCUCUGAAAUUGUACUGCAAGGUACCAUACUACAAAGGGAAGGCUGGGAUUGAUUUUGGGGGUAAUUGCCUCAAAAUUUAAGGAAUUAGGGGCCAAAAAGGGGCAAAAAUCAAGCAUUUUUCUAGUUUCAGGACAAUAACUUGUGUGUAAGUGUAUGGAUCUUUAUGAAAUUGUACUACAAGGUUCCAUAUCACAAAGGGAAAGCUGGAAUUGAGUUUGGGGGUAAUUGCCCAAAACGUUUAGGAAUAAGGGGCCAAAAAAGGG